GUCUAUUGAAGGGCCGACGCCUCACAUCUAGAAGACAGGAGUUUUGAAUACAAUUAAUAGUACCUAGUGCUAUACUUAACCGCGGUGGUUUAUAGUGACGUGACAAGUAGGUACCUAUGUGGAAAGAUGGAUGAAGAGGUUGAAAAUCUUCUUACAGCGUGGAACUUGGAAGAAUAUAUAGAAGUUUUUAAAGAAAAUUCAGUAACAUCUUUAUCCCUUCCCAUGCUUACUGAAAGUAUGAUUAAGGAGAUGAUUCCAUUAAUCGGACCCAGAGC